CACAUGCAGUCGAGCGGUAACAGAUCCAGCUUGCUGGAUGCUGACGAGCGGCGGACGGGUGAGUAAUGCAUAGGAAUCUGCCCGAUAGUGGGGGAUAACCUGGGGAAACCCAGGCUAAUACCGCAUACGUCCUACGGGAGAAAGGGGGCUCCGGCUCCCGCUAUGGGAUGAGCCUAUGUCGGAUUAGCUAGUUGGUGAGGUAACGGCUCACCAAGGCCACGAUCCGUAGCUGGUCUGAGAGGAUGAUCAGCCACAUCGGGACUGAGACACGGCCCGAACUCCUACGGGAGGCAGCAGUGGGGAAUAUUGGACAAUGGGGGCAACCCUGAUCCAGCCAUGCCGCGUGUGUGAAGAAGGCCCUCGGGUUGUAAAGCACUUUCAGCGAGGAAGAACGCCUAGCGGUUAAUACCCGCUAGGAAAGACAUCACUCGCAGAAGAAGCACCGGCUAACUCCGUGCCAGCAGCCGCGGUAAUACGGAGGGUGCAAGCGUUAAUCGGAAUUACUGGGCGUAAAGCGCGCGUAGGUGGCUUGAUAAGCCGGUUGUGAAAGCCCCGGGCUCAACCUGGGAACGGCAUCCGGAACUGUCAAGCUAGAGUGCAGGAGAGGAAGGUAGAAUUCCCGGUGUAGCGGUGAAAUGCGUAGAGAUCGGGAGGAAUACCAGUGGCGAAGGCGGCCUUCUGGACUGACACUGACACUGAGGUGCGAAAGCGUGGGUAGCAAACAGGAUUAGAUACCCUGGUAGUCCACGCCGUAAACGAUGUCGACCAGCCGUUGGGUGCCUAGCGCACUUUGUGGCGAA
rnacentral:rRNA from 1 species